rnacentral:rRNA from 1 species
AACGAACGCUGGCGGCAGGCUUAACACAUGCAAGACGAACGCAUCCUUCGGGGUGAGUGGCAGACGGGUGAGUAACGCGUGGGAACGUGCCCUUCAGAUUGGGAUAACCCCGGGAGACUUGGGCUAAUACAGGAUACGCGCGAACGCAGAAAGAUUUAUAGCUGAAGGAUCGGCCCGAGUCUGAUUAGCUAGUUGAUGGGGUAAUGGCCCACCAAGGCGACGAUCAGUAGCUGGAAUGAGAGGAUGAUCAACCACAUUGGGGCUGAGACACGGCCCAAACUCCUACGGGAUGCAGCAGUGGAGAAUAUUGGACAAUGGGCGAAAGCCUGAUCCAGCCAUGCCGCGUGAGUGAUGAAGACCUUAGGGUUGUAAAGCUCUUUCGUCCGGGACGAUAAUGACGGUACCGGAAGAAGAAGCCCCGGCUAACUUCGUGCCAGCCGCCGCGGUAA